CCAAUACUGACCAACAUAUUAUUCAAGAUAUUUCAGAACCAAUUUUAAUAACAAAUUAACAACGAACCAAUUUCAUGGGGAGGUGAUUGUUUCCCUUAUUUCUUUCAAAGCAUCGAAGAGCUUACUCAGUUAAGAAUGGUGAUUCGCAGUCCAUAGCAUUUCGAGCUACCGAUGAAAACUCCCACGAUGUAAUGCAGAUAUUGCUACGAAAACUCUCGUUUGAAAAUUCCUCGCACAUUGACCUGUGGCAGAUAUCGCAGUCUUUUCAACCUAUGUGAAUUGUACAUUUAUUUAUUUUCUCCAUACUCAUUUAUAUAGAUAAAAAAAACGAAUUCACGAGCACUUUCCAUAUAAAUAAUAUUGUGUAAGCAUUUUACGUACGUCAACGAAAAAUUUCACCAUAACAAAAGUGAAAAGUGUAGAAAAUCUGACGCACCUACCUGAAUAUUUCGCAAACAUUUUGUUCGUUUGAAUUUUUCGAGUUGAAAAAUCACAAAAUUUGGUGACAAGGAUGAAAAUAACGUGACAAUUUGACAGCAAUGAUAUCACAAUUUCUUACCAUAUUAAGUUGGCCAAAUAUCGCUAUAUAUAGGCCUACGCAGUAAACGAGUCUGGAUCAUUGUGCGACGAAAACGAGUACCUACUUCAGCAACGUCGUCGAGUCACAAAGCAGCACAAAGAUGAAAUCAAUUAAUUUAUUAUUCAUGCUUGUAGCAGUGCAGACAUUCGCGCUCAUUUCCGCCGGAGGAGAUGACGAAGAAGGCGGGGGAAUGAUUGGCGAUUUGGAAAAGGGUUUGGGUGUUAACUUGGGUUCCAAAGGAGAUACCGGUGGGUCCUUCGGCAAACCUCCAAGCAGCAGUGGCAGCCCAACAGAUGAAAGCAGCCCAACAGAUGAAAGCAGCCCAACAGAUGAAAGCAGUCCAACAGAUGAAAGCAGCCCUACAGAUGAAAGCAGCCCUACAGAUGAAAGCAGCCCAACAGAUGAAAACAGUGAAACCCCCACCCCUGGCGGCACCCCUGGAAGCAGUGGACCCGGUGGCGGCGCCGGCGAUAUAUAAAGCUAAAGCGAAGGAAGACAGCGAGCGUGGCAAAUGGUUCAUUCGUUCCUCAAGAUAUUCAUUGAGGACUGUGAAACAUUUUGCCUUCAUUACAAUACGAUAUAUUUCAACACGACGAUUUAUUAGGUGCCUACCCUAACACUGCGCUGAAUUGGAUCAUAUUUAAAUUUUAAGUCUUUAAUAUUUUAAUAUUUUUAACGGGUUAUGUGUGGUGAUGGUUCAUAAAUUAAUUUUCAUUAAUGUGUAACGACAAUUUGUGUAUACUACUUUAAUAAAGGGUUGCUGCAUUAUGAAA